GGCUGCGAGUGUUGCUGCUGAAGGCUGUGGUGGACUGGGCUGGAUCGAGGAUUGUGGAGUAGAUCAUAGAUUUGAAAUAGCGGAUUUGGGGUUGUAUCGGGGCUUUGGGGUUGGAUAGGGGAUUUGGGGCUGGGUCGGCCGGGGUCGGGGAGGCGGGUGGUGAAAAGGUGACAGGCAGCUGCCCUCGCUCAAGAGCCGGUGGUUGGGGGUCUGAGAAGAAGUCACCACUAUGAAGUUAUUCGGCUUCGGGAGCCGCAGGGGCCAGACGGCCCAGGGCUCCAUAGACCACGUCUACACGGGUUCCGGAUACCGAAUCCGCGACUCCGAACUGCAGAAGAUCCACAGGGCAGCUGUCAAAGGCGACGCCGCGGAGGUGGAGCGCUGCCUGGCGCACAGGAGCGGAGACCUGCACGCCCUGGACAAGCAGCACAGGUCAGCUCUCAUACUUGCUGUAUACUAUGACUCACCAGGUAUUGUCAAUAUCCUUCUUAAGCAAAAUAUUAUCUUCGCUCAAGACAUGUGUGGACGAG
rnacentral:lncRNA from 1 species